AUGGUGGCCGUCGACCCGAAAGCCCUUCCCUCCGCCGAAGCCGUGAAUCACCAGUUCACCGUGGUCAUCGACGGCGCCGAGACGACCAUCCACGAGGGCGUGCUCCGGUGCAACGGCGGCACGCUCACCGUUGUCAGCCCAGGCGUCCUCGAGGUCAGCAGGCUGCAGCACGUGGUCGUGCGCGGCGGCGGCGGCGGCGACGUGCGCUUCGCCCGGUGCAGCUUCGCGGCGGCAGAGGCCUGCGGCGCCGUGUCCUUCCACAGGUGCGACGCGGUGCGCGUCGACGGGGCCGGGGAAGUCGCCGUGCGGCGGUGCAAGUCCGCGGCCGUGGAGCGCGCGGGCACGGUGAGCAUCCGGAGGUGCAAGGGCGCCGCGCGCGUGCACGGCGCCGGGGAGCUGCGCCUCGGGCGGUGCCGGGAGGCGGACGUGGGCAACUGCUCCGACGUGGCGCUGGGGCGGUGUCGCGAGGCGCGCGCCGACUGGUGCGGCUCGCUCGGCGUCGCGCGGUGCCGGUCGGCGGACGUUAGCCGCUGCGGCGCCGUGCGCGUCGACCGGUGCGGCGACGCGAACGUGGCGAGCUGCGGGAGCGUGAUGGUGCGACGCGGCAAGGUGAACAUGGUGGAGGCGCAUCAGCCACUGCAGGGUUGGCAGGAGCAGCCCCUGUGUCAGAAAGCAGAGCCAGCCGACCCAGUGCCCAUGGAAAUCAUGAGCAAGUGA
rnacentral:rRNA from 1 species